rnacentral:rRNA from 1 species
CAGUAGCCACGGGAAUACAGAGGGUGCGAGCGUUAAUCGGAUUUACUGGGCGUAAAGCGUGCGUAGGCGGCUUCUUAAGUCGGAUGUGAAAUCCCUGAGCUUAACUUAGGAAUUGCAUUCGAUACUGGGAAGCUAGAGUAUGGGAGAGGAUGGUAGAAUUCCAGGUGUAGCGGUGAAAUGCGUAGAGAUCUGGAGGAAUACCGAUGGCGAAGGCAGCCAUCUGGCCUAAUACUGACGCUGAGGUACGAAAGCAUGGGGAGCAAACAGGAUUAGAUACCCCUGUAGUCCCUGUCUCUUAUAA